rnacentral:rRNA from 1 species
GUGAGUAACACGUGGGUAACCUGCCCCCAUCUCUGGGAUAACCGUUGGAAACGGCGGCUAAUACCGGAUACGACCACCUUCCGCAUGGUUGGUGGUGGAAAGUUUUUGCGGUUGGGGAGGGGCCCGCGGCCUAUCAGCUUGUUGGUGCGGUAGUGGCGCACCAAGGCUUUGACGGGUAGCCGGCCUGAGAGGGCGGUCGGUCACAUUGGGACUGA